CCUCGUCCCCCCAUCGACGUCAUCUGUGCUGCUGCUGCGGCUGUGUACGUUUAUAUUCUCUGCCCCGAAUGCUUUAUUUUGUUUUCCCCCUUUUGCUCUCUGCGGUGGGUGGGGGGAGUCCGACGAUGCGCUUCCCAUUGUGCUCUUGCGCUUUGCGCUUGUCGACGCUCUGCUCCUUUUGUUUUGUGAGCGCGGGCGCCGCGCACAGAUGAUUGGCUGUGGACAGGCGCGCAUUCGCGGGCUUUUCUGUGCCUCCGUCGUCCCCCUUUCUUCGCCUUACCUAACGUAUCUCCAACAAGGCAUCAUACGUGCCUGACUGUGUCCGGGUGCUCGCGCGAGCCUGCUGCGGCAAAGGCAGUCUCGGUGUGCGAUACGGGCAGAUGCGUGGGACGAAGCUGUCAACGUGGGAAACGGCAAGAGAGCGCAGCAGAUGCACAAGGAAGAAAGCGGCAGCACACAUGUCAAGCAUGAGGCAACCUCUUCGAGCAUCGGAGCAGGGAAAGGAAGGACUUCUUUUGUUGAUCUCGUAAGGAAACGGCAAUGAAUCGAGAGAGUGAGGAACGGAGGGGAGCUUCCUUACACACGCGCAGAACCGAUGCACGACAGCGCGCACUGUGAAGACUGGAGAACAAGUGUGCAUCACUGCUAGUCUCGGCGACAGCGUAGCUGUGCUCGGUGCGCUGGAGGCUCAAUCGUGCCCUAGGUGCUCAACAGAGAAACAACAAAAGCGGUAGGUGUAUGGUUGGGAGGCGAGAAUGAGGCGAGAGGGGGAAAAAGGUAGAAGAGCGUAGGGGUAGAGAAAGGCGAGACGCCCUGUCUAUGGAAGCCAUGUUGGUGGUGGUGGGGAAAGCACUUUGCUCGGCUAUGCUUCCGUCAUGCAGCUAGAUCGUGUGGCUGGACUGUGUGUCUCUCAUUAUCUCGCUCCUUCUCUCUUGUUCCCUCGCUCCUUCCUUCAGUGGUGUGCGAUCGGCGACUCGUGAGCUGUCUGUCUUGUGGGCCUCUGGGCAAACAGACAACACGGCAAGCAAUUUUGUUUCGCCUUCUCUGGACGGUUCAUGGCCAACCCCGUACAUAAGGUACUGACACUGACACGCUUAAAGUGAAUACGACCAGCCACUCACCCUCUCACCCCCUUCCUCUCCUUCUCUUUUUUUAUCUCUUCGCUAAUUUAGCGCUCAAUGUCACGUUUUCUUGACUCCGUGUGCGCGUGUGUGUAUGCGUCUUUCAUCGCUCCGUUCUUCUCUGCUCAAUUUUUUGGUGUGUUUUCACUUUUAUCUUCCUUUGUUUCUCCUCUGUCUGCCUUUUUUUAUGCUCUCUCUCUCGCUGUGAGUGUGGGUGCCACCCCUUCCCCGCUCACCAUUGCCUCCGUUUACGCAUCUUUGUGUUUCCUUUUGUUCUCUUAUGGCUUUCUCGCUUUCUCUGCUGUCCCUCCACACAACUGCCAGACCGCCGCAGCUAACAUGGCCUUAAAAGUAAAGAAAAAACAAGUGAGACAUAACCACCAAAGACCAUCACCAUCUCCACGUUUGCGCAUCCCCACACGAAAGAGCGGCAUCGUAGGAGCACUGUUGGAGGCGCAAAAAGCGAGAACAGAGGAGCGGACCUUACUUCUUUUUCUUUCUUCCGCUUCGAGUCCCGCGGUGCGUCGAAGCCUCCUUUCUCUCCCCUCUUCCCCCUCAGCUGACAAAAGCCACCAUCAACAUCAAUGCCCACAUGCUGUUGUUUUCGCCUUUGUCGCUGCACCUCCUCUUUCCUCUUCUUUCUCGUGAAUGCCUUUCUGUGCUCUUGAUAG
rnacentral:misc_RNA from 1 species